rnacentral:rRNA from 1 species
CCGGACCUGACUGCUAUCGGAUUGGUACUAAGCCAUGCGAGUCAUUGUAGCAAUACAAGGCGGACGGCUCAGUAACACGUAGUCAACCUAACCUAUGGACGUGGAUAACCUCGGGAAACUGAGAAUAGACCGCGAUAGAUCAUUAUGCCUGGAAUGGCUUAUGGUUCAAACAAUUUAUUGCCGUAGGAUGGGACUGCGGCCUAUCAGCUUGUUGGUGAGGUAAUGGCCCACCAAGGCUAUAACAGGUACGGGCUCUGAGAGGAGAAGCCCGGAGAUGGGUACUGAGACACGGACCCAGGCCCUAUGGGGCGCAGCAGGCGAGAAACCUUAGCAAUGUGCGAAAGCACGACUAGGUUAAUCCGAGUGAUUCCUGUUGAAGGAAUCUUUUGUCAGUCGUAAAACCACAGACGAAUAAGGGGUGGGCAAGUCUGGUGUCAGCCGCCGCGGUAAUACCAGCACCUCGAGUGGUCAGGAGGUUUAUUGGGCCUAAAGCAUCCGUAGCCGGCUUUGCAAGUCUCCGGUUAAAUCCAGCUGCUCAACAGAUGGGCUGCCGGAGAUACUACACAGCUAGGGAGCGGGAGAGGCAGACGGUAUUCUGUGGGUAGGGGUAAAAUCCAUUGAUCCAUAGAGGACCACCAGUGGCGAAGGCGGUCUGCCAGAACGCGUUCGACGGUGAGGGAUGAAAGCUGGGGGAGCAAACCGGAUUAGAUACCCGGGUAGUCCCAGCUGUAAACGAUGCAAACUCGGUGAUGCAUUGGCUUAUGGCCAAUGCAGUGCCGCAGGAAGCCGUUAAGUUUGCCGCCUGGGAAGUACGGACGCAAGUCUGAACUUAAAGGAAUUGGCGGGG